rnacentral:tRNA from 1 species
GCUUUUAUGGUGUAGUGGUCAGCACAUUCGGCGUGUAUUUGAGAGGUCCGUGGUUCGAGUCCCGGCGAGGGUA